rnacentral:rRNA from 1 species
GACGAACGCUGGCGGCGUGCUUAACACAUGCGAGUCGAACGGACAGGCCCUGCUCUUGUGGGGUGCUCGAGUGGCGAACGGGUGAGUAACACGUGAGUAACCUGCCCUUGACUUUGGGAUAACUUCAGGAAACUGGGGCUAAUACCGGAUAGGAGCUCCUGCUGCAUGGUGGGGGUUGGAAAGUUUCGGCGGUUGGGGAUGGACUCGCGGCUUAUCAGCUUGUUGGUGGGGUAGUGGCUUACCAAGGCUUUGACGGGUAGCCGGCCUGAGAGGGUGACCGGCCACAUUGGGACUGAGAUACGGCCCAUACUCCUACGGGAGGCAGCAGUGGGGAAUAUUGCACAAUGGGCGGAAUCCUGAAGCAGCAACGCCGCGUGCGGGAUGACGGCCUUCGGGUUGUAAACCGCUUUCGCCUGUGACGAAGCGUGAGUGACGGUAAUGGGUAAAGAAGCACCGGCUAACUACGUG